rnacentral:rRNA from 1 species
UACAGAGGGUGCGAGCGUUGUUCGGAAUUAUUGGGCGUAAAGGGCGCGUAGGCGGUGCGGUAAGUCACCUGUGAAACCUCUGGGCUUAACUCAGAGCCUGCAGGCGAAACUACCGUGCUGGAGUGUGGGAGAGGUGCGUGGAAUUCCCGGUGUAGCGGUGAGAUGCGUAGAUAUCGGGAGGAACACCUGUGGCGAAAGCGGCGCACUGGACCACAACUGACGCUGAGGCGCGAAAGCUAGGGGAGCAAACAGG